AGAACUAUGAACGGGAGUAGCAGUGCGCGUCGUGUGUAGCAUAAAAGAAAUAAAGAAACAGUUGGUGGAAGGAAUUGUAGAAUAAUUGAGUUUGUGAAAAAUAGAAAUAGGAACCUGAAAAAUAAUUAAUUAUAUACUUACCUGGAAAACCUGAAAAAGAAAAAAAAACUGAAAAAAGGUCCGCACAGUGGGCUUUUUUAUGUCUUCUCCAAAAUAGGCAUCAACCACAACUUUCUAGGUAGAAAGUGUAGAGAGCCACCAACAAACUUAAGCGAUUGGCUUACAGCAAGACCGGGCACUCUAACCGCAACUUUUACAACCAACUGCGAAGGACAAUCGAACCUAGACAGACGUGUCCCAGAGGACGAAACAGGAAGACAUAUGCACACAAGGAUAUGGAUAAACAACGUAUCACACCAAAUUAAGGACCACACCACAUUGCUCAAAUACAUAACGAUUGCGCAAGUAUACAAAACCAUAAACUGUGACGUCACAAAUAGUAAAGUAUAUCAAAACACAUAGAAAAGUAUAUGUUUAGAAUUAAAUUAAAAGUAAAAGAAGUAUUUACACAUAGAAUUUAUAUAGUACGCCACUACCAACAUAAUACACGUGUAAUAAAUUAAAAGUUUUGUUUACAUAAA